GUUGAAAUGAUUUGUACAAUAUGUUGUGUCGCGUUGCAUCGCUUAUUUUUUCUUCUUGUAAGUUUUUGUGCCAUUACCUUUUUGUCUUUUGUUUUGUUUACUGUGUUAUGUAGACUUUGGGUAAAAAAAUACUGGUAAAAAAAAGUAAAUCAAACAGUUUGUAUACUUUAAUAUCUUUUAAGAAUAAAUAACAGAAAGCACUUUUAGUCUUUAAACUAGUCAUUUUUUAUACUUUGAUCAAGCCAAUUUUGUCCUGAUACUUGUAUAGUUAUACUACACAUUCCCCAUUUUUGU
rnacentral:lncRNA from 1 species